CCGCGCAACAUAGAAGGGACACAAGAUUUUCUGAGGGAAAGGGGAGCACGGGGUAUAAUAUUGGGAAACUCCCUUGGUGGGGGGAAUAACUCAGGAACCGGUUGUUUUAUCCCGCAUAACGUCCCAAAACCAAAAGGAGGGACCUUUGGGCGCUUUUCCCUUCAAAUUGCCCCAAGUGGGAUUAGCUAGUAGGUGGGGUAAUGGCUCCCCUUAGGCGACGAUCCCUUAGCUGGUCUGAGAGGAUGACCAGCCCCACUGGAACUGAGACACGGUCCAGACUCCUACGGGAGGCAGCAGUGGGGAAUAUUGCACAAUGGGCGCAAGCCUGAUGCAGCCAUGCCGCGUGUAUGAAGAAGGCCUUCGGGUUGUAAAGUACUUUCAGCGGGGAGGAAGGUGUUGUGGUUAAUAACCGCAGCAAUUGACGUUACCCGCAGAAGAAGCACCGGCUAACUCCGUGCCAGCAGCCGCGGUAAUACGGAGGGUGCAAGCGUUAAUCGGAAUUACUGGGCGUAAAGCGCACGCAGGCGGUCUGUCAAGUCGGAUGUGAAAUCCCCGGGCUCAACCUGGGAACUGCAUUCGAAACUGGCAGGCUAGAGUCUUGUAGAGGGGGGUAGAAUUCCAGGUGUAGCGGUGAAAUGCGUAGAGAUCUGGAGGAAUACCGGUGGCGAAGGCGGCCCCCUGGACAAAGACU
rnacentral:rRNA from 1 species